UGGGGAAUUUUGGACAAUGGGCGAAAGCCUGAUCCAGCCAUGCCGCGUGAGUGAAGAAGGCCUUCGGGUUGUAAAGCUCUUUUAGUCGGAAAGAAAGAGUCGCAAUGAAUAAUUGUGAUUUAUGACGGUACCGACAGAAAAAGCACCGGCUAACUACGUGCCAGCAGCCGCGGUAAUACGUAGGGUGCGAGCGUUAAUCGGAAUUACUGGGCGUAAAGGGUGCGCAGGCGGUUUUGCAAGUCAGAUGUGAAAGCCCCGGGCUUAACCUGGGAAUUGCGUUUGAAACUACAAGGCUAGAGUGCAGCAGAGGGGAGUGGAAUUCCAUGUGUAGCAGUGAAAUGCGUAGAGAUGUGGAAGAACACCGAUGGCGAAGGCAGCUCCCUGGGUUGACACUGACGCUCAUGCACGAAAGCGUGGGGAGCAAACA
rnacentral:rRNA from 1 species